rnacentral:rRNA from 1 species
AUUGAACGCUGGCGGCAUGCUUUACACAUGCAAGUCGAACGGUAACAGGCCGCAAGGUGCUGACGAGUGGCGAACGGGUGAGUAAUGCAUCGGAACGUGCCCAGUCGUGGGGGAUAACGCAGCGAAAGCUGUGCUAAUACCGCAUACGAUCUAUGGAUGAAAGCGGGGGACCGUAAGGCCUCGCGCGAUUGGAGCGGCCGAUGUCAGAUUAGGUAGUUGGUGGGGUAAAGGCCUACCAAGCCCACGAUCUGUAGCUGGUCUGAGAGGACGACCAGCCACACUGGGACUGAGACACGGCCCAGACUCCUACGGGAGGCAGCAGUGGGGAAUUUUGGACAAUGGGCGCAAGCCUGAUCCAGCAAUGCCGCGUGCAGGAAGAAGGCCUUCGGGUUGUAAACUGCUUUUGUACGGAACGAAACGGUCUGGGUUAAUACCCUGGACUAAUGACGGUACCGUAAGAAUAAGCACCGGCUAACUACGUGCCAGCCGCCGCUGUAAGAC